GUAGCUCAGUGGUAGAGUGCAUGCUUUGCAAGCAUGAGGCCCUGGGUUCGAUUCCUCAGC
rfam:Dipodomys ordii contig_39477, whole genome shotgun sequence.